rnacentral:lncRNA from 1 species
GGGUUCUUCCAUGGAAAAAAACACCCAGGAAAGAAAUGUUCUCCCUUAGUCCUAGAGCUGGCCAGAAACCACAGCUAUAGCUCCCUAAUAGCAGAACUUCACACAGAUUUCAGGAGUGCAGCAGUAAAACAUUAGAAAUCCUUACUUGGCUGAUUGAUGAGACAGAGAUGGAGCAAAAGCUCUUUGCAUCAUCUGGGAUAGCGAACGGCUGUCAGGCUCUCAUCACUACAUGAAAUUAAAGGC